GACGAACGCUGGCGGCGUGCUUAACACAUGCAAGUCGAACGGUGAAGCGCCUUCCUUUUUGGUGGGUGUGGAUGAGUGGCGAACGGGUGGGUAACACGUUAGUAACCUGCCCCCUUCUUCUGGAUAACCGCAUGAAAGUGUGGCUAAUACGGGAUAUUCUGGGUCUGUCGCAUGAUGGGUCUGGGAAAGAUAUUGUUUCGGUGGGGGAUGGGCUCGCGGCCUAUCAGGUUGUUGGUGGGGUGAUGGCCUACCAAGGCGGUGACGGGUAGCCGGCCUGGGAGGGUCGACGGUCCCACUGGGGAUGAGAGACGGACAAGACUACUACGGGAGGCAGCAGUGAAGAAUAGUGCACAGUGGGAGCAAGGCUGAUGCAGCGACGCCGCGGGGGGGAUGGAGGCCUUAGGGUUGUGAACCUCUUUCGCGAGUGAAGCAGAGCUGGCUCGUUUGUGGGUGGGUUGACGGUAGCUGGAUAAGAAGCGCCGGCUAACUACGUG
rnacentral:rRNA from 1 species